GAAAAGAAAAAAUUACAUGACUUAAAUCCUAUAAUUCCAGGGUGAUGCUGGUUUGACUGGCCGAAAAAUCAUUGUGGAUACUUAUGGCGGUUGGGGAGCUCAUGGAGGAGGGGCCUUUUCAGGAAAGGAUUAUACCAAAGUGGACCGUUCAGCUGCUUAUGCUGCUCGUUGGGUGGCAAAAUCCCUUGUUAAAGGAGGUCUGUGCAGGAGGGUUCUUGUUCAGGUCUCUUAUGCUAUUGGAGUUUCUCAUCCAUUGUCGAUCUCCAUUUUCCAUUAUGGUACUUCUCAGAAGAGUGAGAGAGAGCUAUUAGAAAUUGUGAAGAAUAAUUUUGAUCUUCGCCCUGGGGUCAUUGUCAGG
rnacentral:lncRNA from 1 species